GAUUCCCCCAGUAGCGGCGAGCGAACGGGGAGCAGCCCAGAGCCUGAAUCAGUAUGUGUGUUAGUGGAAGCGUCUGGAAAGGCGCGCGAUACAGGGUGACAGCCCCGUACACAAAAAUGCACAUAUUGUGAGCUCGAUGAGUAGGGCGGGACACGUGGUAUCCUGUCUGAAUAUGGGGGGACCAUCCUCCAAGGCUAAAUACUCCUGACUGACCGAUAGUGAACCAGUACCGUGAGGGAAAGGCGAAAAGAACCCCGGCGAGGGGAGUGAAAAAGAACCUGAAACCGUGUACGUACAAGCAGUGGGAGCACGCUUAGGCGUGUGACUGCGUACCUUUUGUAUAAUGGGUCAGCGACUUAUAUUCUGUAGCAAGGUUAACCGAAUAGGGGAGCCGAAGGGAAACCGAGUCUUAACUGGGCGUUAAGUUGCAGGGUAUAGACCCGAAACCCGGUGAUCUAGCCAUGGGCAGGUUGAAGGUUGGGUAACACUAACUGGAGGACCGAACCGACUAAUGUUGAAAAAUUAGCGGAUGACUUGUGGCUGGGGGUGAAAGGCCAAUCAAACCGGGAGAUAGCUGGUUCUCCCCGAAAGCUAUUUAGGUAGCGCCUCGUGAAUUCAUCUCCGGGGGUAGAGCACUGUUUCGGCAAGGGGGUCAUCCCGACUUACCAACCCGAUGCAAACUGCGAAUACCGGAGAAUGUUAUCACGGGAGACACACGGCGGGUGCUAACGUCCGUCGUGAAGAGGGAAACAACCCAGACCGCCAGCUAAGGUCCCAAAGUCAUGGUUAAGUGGGAAACGAUGUGGGAAGGCCCAGACAGCCAGGAUGUUGGCUUAGAAGCAGCCAUCAUUUAAAGAAAGCGUAAUAGCUCACUGGUCGAGUCGGCCUGCGCGGAAGAUGUAACGGGGCUAAACCAUGCACCGAAGCUGCGGCAGCGACACUAUGUGUUGUUGGGUAGGGGAGCGUUCUGUAAGCCUGUGAAGGUGUGCUGUGAGGCAUGCUGGAGGUAUCAGAAGUGCGAAUGCUGACAUAAGUAACGAUAAAGCGGGUGAAAAGCCCGCUCGCCGGAAGACCAAGGGUUCCUGUCCAACGUUAAUCGGGGCAGGGUGAGUCGACCCCUAAGGCGAGGCCGAAAGGCGUAGUCGAUGGGAAACAGGUUAAUAUUCCUGUACUUGGUGUUACUGCGAAGGGGGGACGGAGAAGGCUAUGUUGGCCGGGCGACGGUUGUCCCGGUUUAAGCGUGUAGGCUGGUUUUCCAGGCAAAUCCGGAAAAUCAAGGCUGAGGCGUGAUGACGAGGCACUACGGUGCUGAAGCAACAAAUGCCCUGCUUCCAGGAAAAGCCUCUAAGCAUCAGGUAACAUCAAAUCGUACCCCAAACCGACACAGGUGGUCAGGUAGAGAAUACCAAGGCGCUUGAGAGAACUCGGGUGAAGGAACUAGGCAAAAUGGUGCCGUAACUUCGGGAGAAGGCACGCUGAUAUGUAGGUGAAGUCCCUCGCGGAUGGAGCUGAAAUCAGUCGAAGAUACCAGCUGGCUGCAACUGUUUAUUAAAAACACAGCACUGUGCAAACACGAAAGUGGACGUAUACGGUGUGACGCCUGCCCGGUGCCGGAAGGUUAAUUGAUGGGGUUAGCGCAAGCGAAGCU
rnacentral:rRNA from 1 species